UAGCUGUGAAAUGUUCACUUAGGUUGUACUUAGGAAUCUGAGUUUCUGAAAAUGGAUUUGAAUUUCAAUAUGGUGUAAGUUGUGUGAUAAAGAAACUUGUAAGUUUAACAUCCAUGACUGUUUUUGAAAUUUAUGGAUUGUGGGAUGCCCGUAUAAGUGAUGAAUUUGAAAUUCCUAUGGAUCUUUCUUAUUUUGAUAUUCAUGUUUUUAUAUCUUUAAAUACAUAAUCAUAAUUUUAAUUAUU
rnacentral:lncRNA from 1 species